rnacentral:rRNA from 1 species
GGUUGAUCCUGCCAGUAGUCAUAUGCUUGUCUCAAAGAUUUAGCCAUGCAUGUCUAAGUUUAAGCUCGUUAGAGCGAAACUGCGAAUGGCUCAUUAAAACAGUUAUAGUUUCUUUGAUGACUAACAAUUACUUGGAUAACUGUAGUAAUUCUAGAGCUAAUACAUGCGAAACAACCUGACUUAUUGGAAGGUCGCACUUAUUAGAUACAAAACCAACCUAGGGCAACCUAGAGUUCUGGUCAUUCAUAAUAAUUCCGCUGAUCGCACAGUUUACUGGCGACACGUCAUUCAA